rnacentral:rRNA from 1 species
CUACGUGCCAGCAGCCGCGGUAAUACGUAGGGCGCGAGCGUUGUCCGGAAUUAUUGGGCGUAAAGAGCUUGUAGGCGGUUUGUCGCGUCUGCUGUGAAAGGCCGGGGCUUAACCCCGUGUAUUGCAGUGGGUACGGGCAGACUAGAGUGCAGUAGGGGAGACUGGAACUCCUGGUGUAGCGGUGGAAUGCGCAGAUAUCAGGAAGAACACCGAUGGCGAAGGCAGGUCUCUGGGCUGUAACUGACGCUGAGAAGCGAAAGCAUGGGGAGCGAACAGGAUUAGAUACCCUGGUAGUCCAUGCCGUAAACGUUGGGCACUAGGUGUGGGGGACAUUCCACGUUUUCCGCGCCGUAGCUAACGCAUUAAGUGCCCCGCCUGGGGAGUACGGCCGCAAGGCUAAAACUCAAAGGAAUUGACGGGGGCCCGCACAAGCGGAGGAACAUGUGGUUUAAUUCGAUGAUACGCGAGGAACCUUACCCGGGCUUGAA